rnacentral:rRNA from 1 species
GAUGAACGCUGGCGGCGUGCCUAAUACAUGCAAGUCGAGCGAACGGACGAGAAGCUUGCUUCUCUGAUGUUAGCGGCGGACGGGUGAGUAACACGUGGAUAACCUACCUAUAAGACUGGGAUAACUUCGGGAAACCGGAGCUAAUACCGGAUAAUAUUUUGAACCGCAUGGUUCAAUAGUAAAAGACGGUCUUUCUGUCACUUAUAGAUGGAUCCGCGCUGCAUUAGCUAGUUGGUAAGGUAACGGCUUACCAAGGCAACGAUGCAUAGCCGACCUGAGAGGGUGAUAGGCCGCACUGGAACGGAGACACGGACCCGACUACUACGGGAGGCACCAGAAGGGAAUCGUCGGCAACGGGCGAAAGCCUGACAGAGCAAGGCCGAGCGAGUGAUAAAGGUCUUCGGAUCGUAAAACUCCGUUAUGAGGGAAGAACAGAUGUGUAAGUAACAAUGCACGGCUUGACGGUACCUAAUAAGAAAGCCACGGCUAACUACGUG